rnacentral:rRNA from 1 species
GGGCCCGCACAAGCAGUGGAGUAUGUGGUUUAAUUCGAAGCAACGCGAAGAACCUUACCAGGUCUUGACAUCCCGACGCAAGGUCUAGAGAUAGAUCCGUCUUCGGACGUCGGAGACAGGUGGUGCAUGGUUGUCGUCAGCUCGUGUCGUGAGAUGUUGGGUUAAGUCCCGCAACGAGCGCAACCCUUGUCAUUAGUUGCUACGCAAGAGCACUCUAAUGAGACUGCCGUUGACAAAACGGAGGAAGGUGGGGACGACGUCAAAUCAUCAUGCCCCUUAUGACCUGGGCUACACACGUACUACAAUGGCCGUUAACAGCGUGAAGCAAGAGAGCGAUCUGGAGCGAAUCACCAAAAACGGUCCCAGUUCGGAUUGCAGGCUGAAACUCGCCUGUAUGAAGUCGGAAUUGCUAGUAAUCGCGGAUCAGCAUGCCG